GAGGUUAUAGCUUAAGUGGUAGAGCGCAUGCUUAGUAUGCACUAGGUCCUGGGUUCAAUCCCCAGUACCUCCU
rfam:Camelus ferus unplaced genomic scaffold scaffold2228, whole genome shotgun sequence.